GAAAGUGAUCUGAUCCACGCGGCCUACAUUUAACCUCUGUUUGGGACAUGGAGAUGAGCGUCCUCUCUUUCCUUACAAGCUGAGUCACCAGCCUCUUCAGGCCCGGGCCCUGCACCCCCUCUCAUGGUUGUCCUGCGUCUUGCCUGAGCCAGAAGCCGCAGACCUCAUCUGGGACCUACACCUGCCAGACAGGGGGUCUGAAAAAUCCACACAUUCUGCGCUGAAGCCAUGCCCGCCCCAAGCCAGAUUCUUAGCCUCCACAGAAAGCUCUGGAACUCCAUUCUCCCGAAACACUGACCUAAUCCUUGCAUUGAGACUGCUAUUUACAUUAAAAUUGGUCACAUAAUGAAAAAAAAA
rnacentral:lncRNA from 1 species